AUUGAACGCUGGCGGCAGGCUUAACACAUGCAAGUCGAGCGGUAACAGGAGAAGCUUGCUUCUCGCUGACGAGCGGCGGACGGGUAAGUAAUACUUAGGAAUCUACCUAGUAGUGGGGGAUAGCUCGGGGAAACUCGAAUUAAUACCGCAUACGACCUACGGGAGAAAGGGGGCAACUUGUUGCUCUCGCUAUUAGAUGAGCCUAAGUCGGAUUAGCUAGAUGGUGGGGUAAAGGCCUACCACGGCGACGAUCUGUAGCUGGUCUGAGAGGAUGAUCAGCCACACCGGGACUGAGACACGGCCCGGAUUCCUACGGGAGGCAGCAGUGGGGAAUAUUGGACAAUGGGGGCAACCCUGAUCCAGCCAUGCCGCGUGUGUGAAGAAGGCCUUUUGGUUGUAAAGCACUUUAAGCAGUGAAGAAGACUCUAGGGUUAAUACCCUUAGACGAUGACAUUAGCUGCAGAAUAAGCACCGGCUAACUCUGUGCCAGCAGCCGCAGUAA
rnacentral:rRNA from 1 species